AAUAUUGGACAAUGGGCGAAAGCCUGAUCCAGCCAUGCCGCGUGUGUGAAGAAGGUCUUCGGAUUGUAAAGCACUUUAAGUUGGUAGGAAGGGCAGUAAGUUAAUACCUUGCUGUUUUGACGUUACCGACAGAAUAAUCACCGGCUAACUUCCUGCCAGCAGCCGUGGUAAUACGAAGGGUUCAACCGUUAAUCGGAAUUACUGGUCGUAAAGCGCGCGUAGGUGGUUUGUUAAGUUGGAAGUGAAAGCCCCGGGCUCAACCUGGGAACUGCAUUCAAAACUGGCAAGCUAGAGUAUGGCAGAGGGUGGUGGAACUUCCUGUGUAGCGGUGAAAUGCGUAGAUAUAGGAAGGAACACCAGUGGCGAAGGCGACCACCUGGGCUAAUACUGACACUGAGGUGCGAAAGCGUGGGGAGCAAACA
rnacentral:rRNA from 1 species